UAAGGAAUAUUGGUCAAUGGACGCAAGUCUGAACCAGCCAUGCCGCGUGGAGGAUGAAGGUCCUCUGGAUUGUAAACUUCUUUUAUAUGGGACGAAAAAGGGUCUUUCUAGAUCAACUGACGGUACCAUAUGAAUAAGCACCGGCUAACUCCGUGCCAGCAGCCGCGGUAAUACGGAGGGUGCAAGCGUUAUCCGGAUUCACUGGGUUUAAAGGGUGCGUAGGUGGGUUGGUAAGUCAGUGGUGAAAUCCCCGAGCUUAACUUGGGAACUGCCAUUGAUACUAUUAAUCUUGAAUACUGUGGAGGUCAGCGGAAUAUGUCAUGUAGCGGUGAAAUGCUUAGAUAUGACAUAGAACACCAAUUGCGAAGGCAGCUGGCUACACAAAUAUUGACACUGAGGCACGAAAGCGUGGGGAUCAAACAGGAUUAGAUACCCCCGUAGUCCCUGAGCGGGCUGGCAAGGCGCAU
rnacentral:rRNA from 1 species